UACCACCUCUGCGGGGUGGGAGAAGUACCUGGCACAUCACUAACAACUACCGGCCGAAUCUCACAUCGUUGUCUAGUAAAGUAUAGUUAGUUACCGAUUUGUUGUGGUAAUCGUCAAGUUAUACUGUGGUGCAUGUGUUGUGUUGUGGUUUGUGGUAGCUGGUAGCUGGUCUUUGUAGUUUGUACCUAUCUUUAAAAUUGGUUCGGAUUGAAAUUGAGCAGAAUCAAGAAUUAGACAUGACUGGAGCGAUAUCUUAUAAACUUGUCCAUGAUGCUUCUCGUGAAGGCCCAUUAUCGCUGCAAGAACUUCCAGCCAUCACUAUUGGGGUAGAUAUGUGGCGUUGUAAUGCAAACAAACGUACGAGUCGUAAUUCGAAAAGAUAUCAACCAUAUUGUAAACCCAAAUCAAAGAAUCCUAUGCUUGCAAAAACGCCACGCAUAAUUAACGAUAUAAUCAAACAAUACAGCGAAAAAUUUAAGAAUUCGAUGGAGCAUUGGCUAAAAGACCAUUUUGAAAAAGCAUUCAAGUUGCGUUACAAUCAUCAUAAUGAUAUUUUGAAUGACUUCAAUGAUUUUGUUAUCGAUCAUACAGGUGCCAUUCGUGAUAUUGAAACAGCCAAACGUAUAGUGCAUUGUGAUCGUUUGAGUGUGGAUGUGAAAUUCGUGAUUGCUUGUUUAUAUGAUUUCGAAGACGAUAUCAGACGAAUUCGGCCAUCUAUCAGUAAUGAGAUAGAUUUCAGUGAGCUUGACUUUUCGGAACGGCUGAGCGUGAAAUUCAAAAUUAUGCUUGUUGAUAGUAACCUUAUUGAGAAUAUUACAACUGUUAUAUGUAAUCAUAUCCACACACACUGGCCAUAUCUAGCUACAGAAUAUGAUUUAGAUAUGAUAUUUUGAAUCAAUGAGUUAUUUUUAAAAGGUUCUCUCUAUUUUUAUAACUAAUAUAUAUAUAUAUAUAUAUAUAUAUAGGUACAAGCUUUUAUUAUUUAGUGUAUCUUUAUAUGUAUCCCUGUGGGCACGUUUGACACUUUAGUGCCAGUAUUUGACAUUGCGUCAAAUUGAGACUGGGACGCAAUGCCAAUUUUUAGUGCCAGUGUCAUAGUGUCAGAGUGCCAGUGUCAGUGCCACUGGCACUGAGAACUGAUACAUUGCGUCAAUAUGAGACUGAGACGCAAUGCAAAUUUUCAGUGCCAGUGCCAGUGCCAGUAUCGGCAAGGAAAAAUUAUGAGGAAGUUUUUUAUUGCCGAUUCUAGUAAUUUUUCGCAGCAGUGUUGCCUGGGUAGAGGUGUUGUUGAUGUAGAUAUCUCCAUUUUCUUGUUUUACCGCCUUUUUUCUACGAAAUUUUUCGGCUCCGGCUGGACUCGAACCUGGGUUCCUUGCGUGACAGUCCGAUGCUUUACCAACUACGCCACCGCGUGAGAUAUAAUUUAUUUGCGAUGAAGCGGGUAUUAGUUGAUUGCUCAUUCAUUUUGACUUUUGAGUAUGCAUCACUGAACUUUUUAGACACUAGUAAUUAUUUUUUCAAGAUUUUUUUUUCUCUGAAAUUAUUACCUAUCCCACUGGAGAAAUUUUUUAAUUUAUUCGAUUCCAAUUUUCAAUUUUUUCCUUAUAAAAAACACUAUUUUUUACAAUUGAAUCGGUGGGUGCAGAAAGGGAACAAGUCCAUUUUCGCACUUUUCAGGAAUAACAAAAAACUGAUUUAUUUGAAAAUCAAAAAUUUUUGGUAAACAUGCUUAAGGUCAUUGAAAGAGGACCCCAAGACACAAUUUUUAGCACUGUUUAGAAAAAAAAAUAUUCACGUGCGCCGGCGCUGUUGCUGCCUAAACAAAUGGGACUUAGACCCUUUCUGCACCCAAUCGACAAAAUUUUUUUUGAAAUUGCUCGGGCACGAAUGGGGCUUGAUUCUACAUCUAAGUACAUCAUUUAGACUGCUAUCUCGUUUAAAUUCACCAAAAACCCCUCGAGUUCUAAGACUUUUUGCCGAAGUUGUUAAUUUUUUCAUCAUUUUUCAGUUCAGAGAUUAACUUCAAUUUCAAAAAAUGGUCUUCUCAAAAAUGUUAGUUAUUUUUCAAGGAAUUUAAAAAAAUUUACAAAAAAGUCAUAAAUGCGGAUCCGCCCUUUUUCUGCGCCCAAAUACCACUUUCCCGGCAGUUUUGCGGAAAUCUGACAUCACCAGUCGAUCCGCCGUACUUUGAAACCCCUAUAUCCGUGAAAAAAAAAUUUCCAAAAAUGUGACUUAUUCCCUUUCUGCACCCACCGAUUCAAUUAUUGUUUUUAAGAAGAGGGAUUCCAAUUUUUUGUUUUUUUUUUCUCAAUGAAAAUUUUCAAGAGUAUAAACUUCAAAAUUUAAAACAUUUUUCAAAAAAAAAAAAUUUAUUAGUUGAAAAAAUUUACUGGAGCUUAGGAGAAAGUUGCAAUAAGGUUUCAAAGAAAAUUUUUCUCGUAGGUACUCAAAAAAAAAAAAAAUGAAAAUUUCAAGUAUUGAUAAUGCUGAUCCUAAAAACUUUUCAGGAACAUAUAUUUUUGUUUAAAUAGAGGAGUAGGUAAGCAUGAAAAUUUUAAAGUUUGAAUUUUUUUCUCAAAAAAAAAUUUCAAAGGUAGGGCUUAAAAAUUUUGAAUAAAGCUAUUUUUAAAAAAAACGAAUUUAGAUUUGUUGGAAAAGCGCCUGUUCUUUUUUUGAAAAGAAAAUAAUUACAAAAUGAAGAAAUUUUAAAACUUGUAUUUUUCUUAUGUACUUGUAUGCUCUUUUUAAUGGAUCGCGAAAAAAAAGUUGGACGAUUUCGAGAAAAUUCAGCGGGAACCUCCAUUUUAAGUUGAAAUUCACUCAGAAAAACUUUCGGUUUUGGAGGUUCCCCUGAAGGAUGGAUAUUGGUCCGCAAAGAGGGGGAAUAUUCAAAAAAUCUUGGGUUUUUUCGUUUUUUUUUUGCUCUGGUCCUCACCCAACCUGUUUUGGAAAAAAUUGUCCAGUUCCAAAAGAUAGAAUUUGAGAUUCUGAGUCGAUCUUUUGGCACACCAGCACCACUCUCAGUCAUUAUUAAACACCCCUCGUAUAUCCGCAGAAACUUGAUUUCAAACUUUUGAUGCAUAAAAAUUUUUUAAACAAAAUUUUAAAUUGAAAUAUAAUUCUUAAAAAAUCUGAAAUUUUGCGAAUUCUUUUAUGUUUAAUGUUCAAGCAAAGUUUUAGUUGCUUAAAACUAAAAAGUUGAGACUUGUAUUAUUGGAAAAUGUUUUCAGUGCCAACAUUUUACACUGGAGUGCCAAUGCCUGAUGCCCGAGUGUCAUCACCUGACACUCCAGUGUCAAGAUCUGACCCUGAGUGCCAGUGCCUGACACUCCAGUGCCGACACAUGACACUCCAGUGUCAAAAUUUGACACCGAGUGCCAAUGCCUGACACUCCAGUGUCAAAAUCUGACACUGAGUGCCAAAAUGUGACACUUAGUGUCAGAUUUUGGCACUUUUUCGCUGGCAUUGCGUCCUGAGUGCCAAACGUGCCCAUAGGGAUUAUACUAUGGAUAAUGAUUACGAUAACUAUGUAAGUAUGUAUUUACUCUUACCAAGUUUUUUUAUUUUAAGGUACCUCUGCAGUGAAUAGUAAAUAAUUUCAAGUCAUCGUGAUGUUUCUUUACUUCGAUAAACUGUAAUUUUAGAGUGCCAACAUAAUAUCUAUGCGUUCAAAAAAAUGACAGUUUUGUGAAGGAUUUUCUGAUUAGGGUAUCUAGCUAGGUACCUAUACUGGAAUUUCUCAAAACAUGGAGGACGUCAAGAUUGACUCGAAAGUUGAAUUUUAUUAGAAUGAAAACAUUGAUAAACCUAUUUAACAAUGAUCUCCGAACUCAACUCGCCCAUGGUCCCAAACCAAUUAUUUACCUAUUUCAAACUUUGGUUUCCUUCACCAUUUUGUCUGCGGCGGGAACCUAUAACUUAAUUUCCUGAUUUUUGAAAAAUUUUUGAAAUUAAAAGCCAAAAAUUGAAAAAAAAGCAAAAUUUCACUCUAUUGACCCCAAACGCUAAAAUUAAAUUGAUGUUUCUCAAGUUCGUUAGAAACGGUUUCCAACCGCCUUCUCAGCACGUGGAAUCUCCAGCAAAUUUUUAAACAUCAUUGAAACUGUUCUAUCUAAACACAGGAAAAGACGUUAUAAUUAAUCUAAAUCAACAAAAAAAAUGAUGAAAUGUUUGUACAAUUUGCCAAAAGUGCAUGAAAAAAUGAUGAAAACAUGAAUAAUGGCGAGUAACUAUCAAAAAAGCACCUACCAACUUUCGAGAAUCACCAUAAAAUAGUGUUUCAGAAACAAUCGCCAAAAAUGCGUGAAAAAGCUGAAAAAGGUUUUUUUAGGAGAGGGGAUGUUCUCCUAAAAUUUUAAUCUUCCUCCUGGGAUUGAAAUUUUUCCAAUCAGAUUUCAUGGCACUUGGCAAUUGUUGACCUCUCGGAUUGUUUUCAAAAUGCUUAAAAAUUCAAUUUUUCACUUUUUUAGAAUUCACAAAUUGGUCAAAAAUUCAUACACUUCUGGAAUUUUGUAAAGACAUAUUUUUAAAAGUGCUCACAUGAUUCAACUUGUACCCUACAAAAGCGUUGCAUCUAGACCUAGUACUACGUACGUAGACAGAUAGGUACUGGCGAUCUACCACCUCGAUACCUACUCUUUGGAAUAUAAAGGAAAUAUAUUUACCUAUGCAUACACGUAGAUAGAAAUAAAUAUAGAAACUUGGACGACUAUUUGUGAUAUAAGCUUUAUUAUUCAUUAAACAACAAUAUGCACAGAG